UAAAAAGAAAACGCAACUGCAAAUCCCAAAACACAACAACAUCUUUGCUGUCGUGUUUUGUGAUUUGCGGUUGCGUUUUCUCUUUU